UUUAUUGAUAAAACUCCUGCUGGAAAUCUGCUGUUGUCAGCAGGAAUUCUUUUUGCGAGUACAUCACCAACAAAAGUGCUGAGGGUACUGAAGUCCAUCAACUGCUACACCAUCACAACAAGGACAUUUCUGAAUCAUCCGAUGAAAUUCCUUCAACCUGCAAUCAAGACAGUCUGGACCAAGAAUCGGAACAACAUUGUGCAGAAACUGAAGGAGACGAACAAAAACAAAGAACUGGUGUUAGGAGGGGAUGGACGCUGUGCCAAGUAUGGAUCCUAUACCAUACAAGACCUCACAAUAAACAAGGUGUUGGAUGUUCAAUUAGUGCAGAGUAAUGAAGUCCCUUCAAGUGUCCACAUGGAAAAAGAGGGGCUUGUGCGAUGUGUCCAGUUCUUGGAGAGUGAAAACCUCGUCAUGAAGACAAUUGUGACAGACACACACAGAUCAACAAAUGGCUGAAGGAAAACCAAGAACAUGUGGACCAUCGGUUCGACGUUUGGCACCUUGCAAAAAACCUAAAAAACUGGUAAAGCUUGCAAAGGACAAGCAAUGUACCGAUAUUGGGGAAUGGAUACAAUCCAUUCUGAACCAUCUGUAUUGGUGUGCCGUAUCAACUCCGGAUGGAAAUGGAGAAAUUAUUGCUGAAAAAUGGCUGUCCCUCAACAACCACAUUAUAAACAUUCACACCAAACAUGGCAGAGUGUUCGAGAAAUGUGCCCAUGGUCGGCU